rnacentral:rRNA from 16 species
UAAGAGAGUUUGAUCCUGGCUCAGGAUGAACGCUGGCGGUAUGCCUAACACAUGCAAGUCGUACGAGAGUUUUUAACUCUAGUGGCGGACGGGUGAGUAACACGUGAGAAUUUACCUUUAGGAGGGGGAUAACAAUUGGAAACGAAUGCUAAUACCCCAUAUGCUUUUGAGUGAAAUGGAUUUAUAUUUAUCCGCCUAGAGAGAAGCUCGCGGCUGAUUAGCUUGUUGGUAAGGUAAGAGCUUACCAAGGCGACGAUCAGUAUCUGGUUUGAGAGGACGACCAGACACACUGGAACUGAGACACGGUCCAGACUCCUACGGGAGGCAGCAGCGGGG